UACAGAGGUCCCAAGCGUUGUUCGGAUUCACUGGGCGUAAAGGGUGCGUAGGUGGUGAGGUAAGUCGGAUGUGAAAGCUCGGAGCUCAACUCCGAAAUGGCAUUGGAAACUACCUUGCUCGAGGGUUGGAGGGGGGACUGGAAUGCUUGGUGUAGCAGUGAAAUGCGUAGACAUCAAGCGGAACACCAGUGGCGAAGGCGAGUCCCUGGACAACUCCUGACACUGAGGCACGAAAGCUAGGGGAGCAAACAGG
rnacentral:rRNA from 1 species